CCUACGGGAGGCAGCAGUAGGGAAUAUUGCUCAAUGGGGGAAACCCUGAAGCAGCAACGCCGCGUGGAGGAUGAAGGUUUUCGGAUUGUAAACUCCUUUUGUUAGAGAAGAUAAUGACGGUAUCUAACGAAUAAGCACCGGCUAACUCCGUGCCAGCAGCCGCGGUAAUACGGAGGGGGCAAGCGUUACUCGGAAUCACUGGGCGUAAAGGGCGCGUAGGCGGGAUAGCAAGUCAGAUGUGAAAUCCUAUGGCUUAACCAUAGAACUGCAUUUGAAACUGUUAUUCUAGAGUAUGGGAGAGGUAGGUGGAAUUCUUGGUGUAGGGGUAAAAUCCGUAGAGAUCAAGAGGAAUACUCAUUGCGAAGGCGACCUGCUAGAACAUAACUGACGCUGAUGUGCGAAAGCGUGGGGAGCAAACAGGAUUAGAUACCCGAGUAGUC
rnacentral:rRNA from 1 species